UGGUUCUCGUUUACCUCAUAUUCUACACCUUUUGCUCCAUCAACAUUCUCAUUUUCAGCGGUUCUUACCUCAUUCCCUUCCUUAUAAUCAUCAUUAAGCCCAGGACCCUCCUCCCAGGCCGCCUCAAUCUCUGCCUGCUCCAAGGUCAGCUGAUGAAUCUCUCUCUCAAUGGCAUCCCUCAAUUUCACCUCUUCCUCUUCAACAGCCUUCUCCUUCACCUCUUCAUCAAUACCCUUUGGAAGAUCAUUCUUCCCCUCAGGGGCAUUUUGGGGAUCAAAAACCUCCUUUUCACCACCCUGAUCACUGAUCGGAUCAAUCGGAGUUGAUUCUGGGUUAAUAAGCCCUAACCCUAGAUUUCCAUUUUGGGGCUUUUCAAAUAUUGAUGAUUCUGAUGAAUCCAUGGUGGUUCCUCCACAUUUCAAUCUAGGAUUAAACCGAGAUAAAUGCUCCUUUCUUCUCAAAAAGAAACUUUACAACUCUGUAAAGCUUAAAAAUGAAUUUUCCUUUUUCUUAUUUUUCCCCCUUUUCGGGCGGUGGUGGUUUAGUGGCGGAGCUGGGUGAAUGGAGGAACUAUUGGUUAUCUGAAUGUACUGCCUGUGGAUGUCUGAAUGAAUUUAUACAUGUAAUUUUGUCUAAUGUCAAAAAAUCAUAUUGAGAAAAGAAAAUUUGCCUAAUAAAGAAAAUAAAAUGGUAUGUGACUCAAACUUUUGAAAUGUUGUGAUUUGAAUAGAUUAAUGCCUGUUCGGUAGCGAUUAUGAGAAUUGAUUUUUUGAUUGUUAAAGGGAAAAAGUGGGUCCCACUUAUGAGUGAAAAAGUGAAAAAUGAUGAUUGAAAUAGUAAAAUAACGAUCCAAAAUUGAUUUUAUUGUUUGAAAAAUUGCUACCAAACAGGAACUAAGAGUCAAAAUAUCGUGAUUUAAGUAGACGGUGAUAUCAUGUAUGAACCUGUAGAUUGACAAAAGGAAAAAAUUAUUGUUUUCGAAUUUUUACAAAUAGAGUAAUUGGGUUCUCAAUUAAUUUUAUUUAUUUUUUAAUUUCGAAAAAGUACUUAUUAACCGAAACUAGUUUUAACUAUUUUAAAACUAUUUUUGAGAAGAUUAAUAUUUUUAAACUUCCCUAAAACAUUCUAUUCCAUUACGAUUUUAAAAUAUCAUCCUUAUUUAUUAAUUAAAAGAAAAAUUUACAAAAUACACCAUAUAUAGAAGGUGUAAUUACAAUUUGCAUACCUUUCUUUAUAGAUUUACAUUUCGUCCCUAAAAUUUUAUAAAUAUGUCAUCUUUGAUCGGUCAAACAAGACAUGAAUUCAUGCACAAGAAACAUGCAGAUGUCUACAGAUGCACACACAAUUCUUCAAAAUAUUACAUAUACUUGUAUAAACAUCUCUUACUUCUGGAACAGUCAACAAUACACACAAUCCAAUUAUAAAUACUUAUACUAACUCGAUCUCAAAAACACUCCUUUAGUAAAAACUGAUUGAAAUCGCUCCUUUAGUAUUAUUAUUUAAAGCAGCAAAGGACCCUUUUUUUACCAACCUAGCCCUUGAAUCUACAUAAUAACAUGGAAAUCUAGGAGAAGAAGAAGAUGAAGAUGAUACAAUCUAUGUACAGACGACUUACGGCAUUCUAAGAGAUUCGACAACUUCUGAUCAAUCAAAUGACUCCCAUGCAUCACUCAAGGAGACUUGUGUGAACUAUUUUCCAAUUAAUCAAAUCAACUCAGGUUAUAAAUAAUUAGUACGAGAUUAAAGAUUUACCAAUGAUUAACUCAUCUAAGUCGCUCAUUUUUUGCUAGUUUCGAACAAAAUUAUCUAUUCAAUUACUUGAACAUAGAAGUAAAAUAAAAUAUGAUUCAAGAUUCAAGAAAGAUAUUGAAAUGUUGCCGUCAGUAUAAACUUUUGAUGAGUACAACUUGUACGCAGUUCUUUUCGUUUUAUAUCAUUUAUAUUGAACCAACUCAUCUAAAAGUUUAAAACUUUUUAACGGGGGUAGAUUAAUCCAUUUAUAAACACAUAAAAUCAAAUCCAUAAACUGAUGCACAACCAAAUGCAUUCAUCAAGAUGUAUGUAGACCUGAUGCUUUCUUCUGGAAGGGUGAUUAAACUUGCAACCCGAUCCGAAUUUACAAGACCCCGUUUUCAUAUAGAACGAACAAUCCUCAGCAUCCGGUCUCAGCGGAUACUGAGGCUUCCUACCAUUAUAAUCAAUAUUCAUCCCUCCCUUCACCGAUUCCUCCAUCGACUUCCCUUCCCCCUCAUACUCUUCGCCACUGCUCUCAUUCUCAUCAUAACCCCCAUUUCUAUCCUCAUCCUCCCAAUUCUGCACAUCUUGUCCAUCUUUUUCUUUAUUUUGGUUCUCGUUUACCUCAUAUUCUACACCUUUUGUUCCAUCAACAUUCUCAUUUUCAGCGGUUCUUACCUCAUUCCCUUCCUUAUAAUCAUCAUUAAGCCCAGGACCCUCCUCCCAGGCCGCCUCAAUCUCUGCCUGCUCAUGCGUAUGUAGUUUUUGAUUGCAUAGGAGUCCUCUAGAGGAGCAGUUCAACUUUUAACAUUCUGUGGAAGCUUUCUAGAGAAACAAUAUGUUAGUUAGCUUAUUUUUCUUCUUUGAGUUGUAUGAAAUUAUGAAUUAUUUGCCCCUUCCUUAAAAAAAAAAGGUUGAACCCCAAUCUUGAGAGUUCUCACCGUCCCGCCCCUAGAGCUUUGUGAGGGAGGUAAAUCGCGGGAUGUGCCCCAACAGGCCAGGGAACAAGAGCUGCCUAUAUACUGCGCCUACAAGGAGUCCAAUUCCAUGUCUCAAGAAUCGAACCAUCACACUGCGACUGCCAACAAAGCGUGAGAUAACUUCACUCCUACCCUUUGUAACACUGAGCUAUGUCCCGGGGGCAUAUUCGCCCCCUUCCUUUAUUACCCUACUGGGGAAUAAAGCAAAGGCCGUGAUUGAAUGGGCCACCUUAUUACCCUUUUGGGAAUAAAGUGAUGACAAGAACCACUACUCACUGGUGAAAUUGUUAUAAAUAUAAAUCAUGAGGUGUGAAAAAAUUUGAGAUGGGCUCUGCUGCGGGCCGGUCCAAGAAUACUCCUUGACUGUGUUGGGCCCCCAAGUGGGCUUGUCCAAUGCUGAUCGUGGAGGACCUUGGGCAGGCCCAAUACUCAGGCCCCGUUGUAUCAGCAAGCACGAAACAACAUGUAAUGUCAUGCUCACAAUAGAAACACGAUGGUAAAUUUCAUUUUUGCACCCCUAAUAGAAGGCCAUAUAAUCGAGACUUUAGGCCUUGAACCUGCUUCAGGAAACUUUGCACGUCUUUGCUAUCCUUUGAGAGGCCUAAACUCUAGAGAAACUUUCUAUUCGAGAAUAUUUCUUGACUUGUAACUCAUGGUGAGAAUUUUACGAUAUGAAAAUGUGUCUUGUAUUUUCCGUCUAGCUCGAUUUUAAUGAAAAUACGAUUGGACCAUUUCUGGCAGGAAUUUUGAAUGAUGAGUUACUAAAAUUGCUCUGACUUUACAAGGCUAAAUUUGAUUGUUCCUAAUCAACUACCUCACAAGAAAAUGGGACAAAAUCAUUUUCAGUUUAAUUUUUUUCCUCUUAAAUAUUAUAUUUUCAAACGAAAAUAAGGACAAAACUGGAAAGUCCAGACAAAGGAAAUCAAUUUAAACAAGCCAAAACUGCUAUAUAAUGACAAGUAUGGGCAGCUAUCAUAUGUGGUCCCUGCAACAAUUUACAAAAUCCCUAUUAGGUAGUGUAUUAAAAAAUAUAACACAUAUUUUCUUAAUUUAAGGUUCAAAAAUAGGUGAUGUUGAGAGGUACCUUCUUUUCUCCUCUCUUGAAAAUUCUUAUAUUCACCUGUAUCACGUUUAUUACGUAAUAUUGAAUAUAAUGAAAAAGAUACUGAGGCUUCCUACCAUUAUAAUCAAUAUUCAUCCCUCCCUUCACCGAUUCCUCCAUCGACUUCCCUUCCCCCUCAUACUCUUCGCCACUGCUCUCAUUCUCAUCAUAACCCCCAUUUCUAUCCUCAUCCUCCCAAUUCUGCACAUCUUGUCCAUCUUUUUCUUUAUUUUGGUUCUCGUUUACCUCAUAUUCUACACCUUUUGUUCCAUCAACAUUCUCAUUUUCAGCGGUUCUUACCUCAUUCCCUUCCUUAUAAUCAUCAUUAAGCCCAGGACCCUCCUCCCAGGCCGCCUCAAUCUCUGCCUGCUCCAAGGUCAGCUGAUGAAUCUCUCUCUCAAUGGCAUCCCUCAAUUUCACCUCUUCCUCUUCAACAGCCUUCUCCUUCACCUCUUCAUCAAUACCCUUUGGAAGAUCAUUCUUCCCCUCAGGGGCAUUUUGGGGAUCAAAAACCUCCUUUUCAC
rnacentral:lncRNA from 1 species